rnacentral:rRNA from 1 species
AUUGAACGCUGGCGGCAUGCUUUACACAUGCAAGUCGAACGGUAACAGGCCUUCGGGUGCUGACGAGUGGCGAACGGGGGAGUAAUGCAUCGGAACGUGCCCAGAGGCGGGGGAUAACGCAGCGAAAGCUGUGCUAAUACCGCAUGCGAUCUGAGGAUGAAAGCGGGGGACCAAGCAGCAAUGUUUGGCCUCGCGCCUCUGGAGCGGCCGAUGUCAGAUUAGGUAGUUGGUGGGGUAAAGGCCUACCAAGCCGACGAUCUGUAGCUGGUCUGAGAGGACGACCGGCCACACUGGGACUGAGACACGGCCCAGACUCCUACGGGAGGCAGCAGUGGGAAUUUUGGACAAUGGGCGCAAGCCUGAUCCAGCAAUGCCGCGUGCGGGAAGAAGGCCUUCGGGUUGUAAACCGCUUUUGUACGGAACGAAAAGGCUCUGGCUAAUACCUGGGGCUGAUGACGGUACCGUAAGAAUAAGCACCGGCUAACUACGUG